GACUUUGGGACAUUUCCAUCUUGGUGGUCUCGUUGUGCCUUUUCUUAGCUCAGGUCAAAGCACUUUGACCGUGCUCUCCUCCGUCUUUGGGGGCUUUCAGUGAAAGCUGAACUGCUGGGCUACUGCACCUGAACGCACCGUAAGAAGAUGGACUUGAAAAGGUCAUGUGUGUCCAUCCAUGAGGUUUCAAAAGUCUGACAAGUCAUGUUUGUUCUUCUUAAAAGUCUCCGUGGAAGCUAGCAAUCAUUGUAGGCUUUAACGUGAGCCGUCAAUGUUCAACACGUGAACACGCCGCUUGCACCCCACCAACACGUGUCCGAGGACAGCAGAAGUGCUUUCUUCAGCUGCUGACCUUGGACCCGGGCAUGCGGGACCACCGGGAGGCCUGGACUCCCCGAGUCCGGCCCUCCGCUUUGUUUGUUGCUUCUAGGAUUCCAAGUGAGCGAGGGAGGAGGAGAAGACGGCAAAGUCACGAGUCGGCAGACGGCAGGAAAGCAAGGCACGGCUGUCGUGUCGGACUUGUACACUUUGAUGAGACGUAUGGAACACAAAUGUUGGCAGAGUUAAUGCAAGCCAGACUCGCGGGAACAUUAACUCAACCACGUGAACAGGGCGAGCGAGCGAGGGACAGAGAGAGAGAGAGAGAGAGAGCUCGGUGAUGUGUUCAAGUCUCUCCACCCGAGGAGAACGUGUCCCAGUCUUUGCCAGUCUCGCCGGUCCCGGUGUUCCGGCUGGGUGCAAGUCAGAGGAAAUCCUCUUUUGCGCUGAUUGUGUCAGAAGCCGGAAAGCCUUUCCACAGCAGGAUGGGCUUCAGCGAGCUGCUGGAGGAGAUGGGCGGUUUUGGGCGGUACCAGUGGCUCCACGUGACUUUGAUCAGCCUCCCGGGCCUCCUGAUGGCGAGCCAGAACCUUUUAAACAACUUUGUUUCCGGAACCCCCUCCCACCACUGCAGCCUGUCGGCCAAUCACAGCCUCCUGCAGGUGGAGCAGACAGACGCGCUGAAGGCCUUCAUACCUCUGGACUCCUCUGGAACACGCCUGGACCGCUGCAGCAGGUUCGUGACGCCUCAGUGGCAUCUGCUAGCGGCUAACAGCUCUGCUAACACCAGCCACCUGCACACGGAGAGCUGCUUGGACGGAUGGACCUUUGACCGCUCCGAGUUCCUCGCCACCACCGUUUCCGAGUGGGAGCUGGUGUGUUCGCUGCGUCCCCUCAAGCAGAUGAUCCAGACCAUCUAUAUGGGCGGAGUUCUAUCAGGCGCCAUCGUGUACGGCGGCCUGUCUGACAGGUUUGGCCGGCGGACCGUCCUUGUUUGGUCCUACCUGCAGUUGGGCAUCCUCGGCUGUAGCUCCGCCCUCUCGCCGUCUUACUCCAUCUACUGCGUUUUCAGCGUUUCGAGCGCCGCUAGCAUGUCUGCGGUCGGUCACGCCUGCUGUUUGUCGUCAGAGGUGGAGUGGAUUCCGACCAAAGCCAGGACGCUGGUGGGCACGCUCACUUCCUUCUUCUUCACCUUUGGUCAGCUGAUCUUGGCGGGCUUGGCUUACUGGCUGAGAGACUGGAGGAAGCUGCAGCUGGUCGUCUGCGCUCCCCAGUUCCUGUUCUUCGCCUACAGCUGGUGGUACUCUGAGUCGGCGCGAUGGUUGGUCCUGAAGCGGAAAUCGGAGAAGGCGCUGAAGACCCUGCACCGAGUGGCUCGAAUCAACGGCAAACAGGAAGUGGUGGACAAGCUGACGCUGGAGGUUCUUCACUCUCACAUGAAGAAAGAGAUGGAGUCCUCUCAGACCAUGAUGACCGCCUACGACUUGGUGAGGACUGCGGGAAUGAGGCGCAUUUCUGUGUGUCUCAUCGCAGUCUGGUUCUCAACCAGCUUUGCGUAUUAUGGCUUGGCCAUGGACCUCCAGAAGUUUGGGCUGAGUAUUUACAUGAUCCAGAUCAUCUUUGGAGCCGUGGAUUUCCCAGCCAAGCUUGUGGCUCUGGGCAUGCUCAGUUACCUCGGGAGAAGAGUGUCUCAGGCCUCGUGCCUCUUCAUGUCCGCCCUCAUCAUCUUCGCCAACAUCUUCGUGCCGACAGGUAAGACGCAGCAGCGCACGCUGACCACCGUUGGAGUCGCUAACCGCUUGGUGAUGCAGACAUGCAGACCGUCAGAACCACGCUGGCGUGUCUCGGUAAGGCCUUCCUGUCAGCGUCCUUCACCACCGUCUAUUUGUACACGGGCGAACUUUACCCCACCAUCAUCAGACUGGAAUGGGUCUGGUCUCCACCAUGGCCAGAGUUGGCAGCAUGGCGGCGCCGGCUGUUCUCAUCCUGGACGAGGUCAACUUCAUAGUGAAAAUCAGUCUCUCGAAUGGCAUAGAUGGCCGUCUUUCCCUAGGACUACACAGAUGCCGUGGAAGGAUAGCCUGGCCUUCCUGGAAGGAAGGAUUGGAAGACCACCACGGCCAUCUUGGUCAUGCUCUUCCAUUGAAGGCAGACGUCCUGUACAUAAGAGGCGGGCAAAGUGCGGCCCGCCGGGCGUUUCCACGGUCCUUUUCUUCUUUCCAUCCUUGACCAGCCUGUCACGUGACCUGCAGUGCUGUGGCAUGCUUGACAGGCCAAAAUAGUCACAGGCAAUCGGUGGCUUAAAUAUUCCUGCUGCAAGGCAUGCUGGGUAGCUUGUAGUACCAACAUUUUGUCGCAUUUUUGCUUGAUUGGCAAAUAUGUUGAUGGGAUUGUCAGGAUGAGUUAGCAUACUCUUGAUAUCCCGUGUUUUAUUCUUCAUGUUGCUGUUGCAGCCGGACUACCCUGCAUGCUUUGCGGGCAUUUUGAACUCACUGUUUUCAGUUACGUUUAGCUCUUAGUUGUUUUAUGUGAUGCGUUAACUUCGUCGCACCGUGAGCAAGUAUGUUCUGAUUGAUGCCACCAAAUGUUUCACCUAAUAUGGCCCCAUGAGUCCAAAAGUUUGUCGCCCCGAUACAGAAUAAGACUUGAGUCUGGGGGGUCGAAAGCAACAUCUCAGCACCUUUGCAGUAAAGCCUGCUGACGCGACACGUUUUCUAAAUAGCCGCUUCGUUCAUCACAGCCGCUUAAGACGACCGAUUCUCAUUCUGAAAAUAUGCUAAUUUAUACCGUAACGCUUAUAAUUAGUUAAAUGGGAAAGCAAGCCACCUAACCACGACUCCUUCCAUCCUCAACAGGACUGUACCUCAUUUGUACUUGCUACGUUCCAAAUCAAAAGGCAUUCACCAGAUGUAACCCAGACGUCACAAGGGGAUGUGUAGUAUUCUCCACUGGUCACUAGGCGGCAGUCAUGUACACCAUUGAUGGGACCACCAGAACAAGGAACUUUACCAAGACACCUGAGUCUAUAUUACGUCUACUAUAUUGGGGAAUAGGCAUGUAAAGAUAACUAUAGGGGUGUUAUUUCAUGUCUGGGCAGCUCUAAUGUUCAAGCGUAUUUAGAAGGUUUUCUCUGCUCUAACAAUGAAAAUAUUCCAUAUUCCAAAUAAGGAAAUUGACUUAUCACAGACCCGGAAGCAGUAGGUGCUUCCUCACCAACUAGUGUGGAAGGUCGGUGUGGUUAUUGGACGGUGGAAAAGCGUGGUGUGACAUCCCAAACUAAGACGUACUCUCCUGGCCCCCCAGGUGUUCCCUUCACUGCCCAGCGUGGUCUACGGGGGGGCGGCUGUGGUAGCCUCAGGCUUUGCUUGCUUCCUGCCCGAGACGCUCAACGUUCCACUGCCAGACACCAUCCAGGACGUGGAGGAGAGAUGGUCUGGGAAAGGCUCGGCCUACCAGAAGA